AAUUCAGAGAUGUUAAGACUAUCUAAUGUAGAGGUAAGAGUAUCGUAAUGAGAGGUAAGCAGGAGGCUAGAAGGCUAAUGUAGAGGUAAGAGUAUCUAAUGUAGUGGUAAGAGGAGCUAGAGGAGCUAAUGUAGAGGUAAGAGUAUCUAAUGUAGAGGUAAGAGUAUCUAAUGUAGUGGUAAGAGUAUCUAAUGUAGUGGUAAGAGUAUCUAAUGUAGUA
rnacentral:lncRNA from 1 species